GCUCCGUUCACUUGCAUGUGCCCUUCACAACAACGCCAGCUUCUUCGGUUGCUAAGCGACGUCAACGUCUUUGGCUAACUAUUUCUCUGCUGAUCAACACUACGUAUGGGUUCAGAGCUGGGAGUAAGGCACACAUUUGAAGUCACAAGCAAGUCUCAAGUCACUGCCAAUCCAAGUCCAGUCGAGGCCCUUCCCAUGGUCAAGCAAGUCAAAAUUCAGGUCAAACCAUCCAUUGACACGCCACCCAAUCCUUCAUCCAUCUUUAGAAAAGUAUUUAACGUUACCCAAGUUUACUUAAAAUAUUAUUUCAGAGCAUGCCGUUGGUGUAUGAGGUGGUGUAUGUGGUGGAGCAUGAGGUGGUGUACGAGGUGUUUUUUUUUGAGGUGGUGUAUGAGUUGGUGUAUGAGGUCAUGUAUGAGGUGGUGCAUGAGGUGGAGCAUGAGGUGGUGUACCAGUUUUUUUUAGGUGGUGUAUGAUGUCAUGUAUGAGGUGGUGACGAGGUUGUGUAGAGGUCGUGUAUGAGGUGGUGUAUUAGGUCAUGUAUGAAGUGGUGUAUGAGGUGGUGUAUGAGGUUGUGUUUGAGGUAAUAUAUGAGGUGGUGUAUGAGGUCAUGUAUGGGGUGGUGUGAGGUCAUGUAUUAGUUGGUUAUGAGGUGGUAUUUGGAGGUGGUGUAUGUCAUGUAUGAGGUGGUGUAUGAGGCUGUGUAUGAGGCGGUGUAUGAGGUUGUGUAGAGUUGGUGCAUGAGGUCAUGUAUGAAGUGGUGUGAGGUCAUGUAUUAGUUGGUGAAGAGGUGGUGUAUGAGGUCAUGUAGAGGUGGUGUACGAGGUGGUGUAGAGGUCAUGCAUGAGGUGGUGUACGAGGUGGUGUAUGAGGUUAUGUAGAGGUGGUGUAUGAGGUGGUGCAGAGAGCAGAAUCAGAAUGUUGCCUGUACUCAAGUAUCAGAAUGUAGUCUGUACUAAAGUAAACACACAGGAGUAAGUGAUGGGCAUAGUAGGCUACUUGUAAUCUAAAGAAACCUAUCCUUGCACUACUCCACUGAAUAACUGGAGGUGGCG
ensembl:lncRNA